rnacentral:rRNA from 1 species
UGUAUAAAAUUUAAUAUAAGUUUAAUUAAUUAAUUAAUUUAAAUGAUAAUUUAGGUUAAAAUUUAAAUUAAAUUUAAUUUAAUAAGUAAUAAUUAAUUUUAACAUUAGGUAUUUAUAGAAUUUAUUUGAUAUAAAACUGAACUUAAAUUAAUUUUAAAUUUAAAUUUUUAAUGUGAAUUAUUUUAAAAAAUUUGUCGUUAUGUAUUUAUUAAUUUUAAUUCAAAUAGAAUAGCACCUUAUAGUUAAUUUAAUGUCUAAGGAGAUUAAAAUAUUUUAUGGCGGUUUAGAAUAUUUAAAUUACUGAAUUGUAAAUUAUAAGAUAUUAUUUAAUAUAAAAAAUAA